UUCCAUAUUCAUAUGUUCCAGUCCUUUCGACGAAAUCAUCUUUGGAUCGUGAAGCAUCGGGCCGCAGCCUCUCGGCGACAUGCCGUAAGAAGUUUCUCCAGGUACAUUCGCGUGGGAACGAGGUGAAACGAGGUGACUGACUGAUUAGCGGUGGCCGCAGGAUCUACAAAUUGUCCAUUCAACUGCCUCUGGGAUGUCGAAACCACCGUCUGUCCUCCAACAGGAGCCAACGGUGAAGGCUGUCCCGUGAUGGUGUACUGUCCCGUCGUCCCGGCUCGUUGAAACGCAGACUGAUCCGCCGGUAUAAAGGUUUGUUGUUGAUAUGGGACUGUAAUAUUUCGAAUAUGAAUAGGAUUCAUUCAGAUAUAACGCAAAGACAAAAAAAAUUCGUCUUUUUAACGAGCUUGUCACUCACCUGCUUGAGGAUGAUAGGGUGUCGCGGCGCCAUACUGAGUAUGGUACCUCAACUCGUCGAGUUGAUUUGGCGCGGAAAUUUGUUGAAUAAAUUGUUGAGGCGGCCAUGGAGCCGGUGACGUCUCGACUGCGACGGGUCCGACUCCCUGAUGCCAGACCGCGUUUCCAAAACCAGCCGCGGGUCGGAAGCCGGUGCCGGAAUCUCCGUAAAAUGGCAUCACUCCGGGUGACUGCGCAUAUAAGAAGGAAGAAAUUUAACAAUUUUUUCGGUCUCUUCAGUUUUUCAACUAAGUCGUGAAAUUACAAAAGUUUACAUUUCA